rnacentral:rRNA from 1 species
UACGUAGGGUGCAAGCGUUGUCCGGAAUUAUUGGGCGUAAAGAGCUUGUAGGCGGCUUGUCGCGUCGUCCGUGAAAACUUGGGGCUCAACCCCAAGCUUGCGGUCGAUACGGGCAGGCUAGAGUUCGGUAGGGGAGACUGGAAUUCCUGGUGUAGCGGUGAAAUGCGCAGAUAUCAGGAGGAACACCGGUGGCGAAGGCGGUUCUCUGGGCAUUACCUGACGCUGAGGAGCGAAAGUGUGGGGAGCGAACAGG